rnacentral:rRNA from 1 species
GACAGAGGGGGCAAGCGUUGCUCGGAAUUACUGGGCGUAAAGGGCGCGUAGGCGGGAUGGCAAGUCGGUCGUGAAAUCCUUCGGCCCAACCGAAGAACGUCGAUCGAUACUGCUGUUCUAGAGGGUUGCAGAGGAGACUGGAAUUCCCGGUGUAGCGGUGAAAUGUGUAGAGAUCGGGAGGAACACCGGUGGCGAAGGCGGGUCUCUGGGCAACUCCUGACGCUGAGGCGCGAAAGCGUGGGGAGCAAACGGG